CCUACGGUGGGCAGCAGUAGGGAAUAUUGCUCAAUGGGCGAAACCCUGAAGCAGCAACGCCGCGUGGAGGAUGAAGGUUUUCGGAUUGUAAACUCCUUUUGUUAGAGAAGAUAAUGACGGUAUCUAACGGAUAAGCACCGGCUAACUCCGUGCCAGCAGCCGCGGUAAUACGGAGGGUGCAAGCGUUACUCGGAAUCACUGGGCAUAAAGAGCGCGUAGGCGGGAUAGCAAGUCAGAUGUGAAAUCCUAUGGCUUAACCAUAGAACUGCAUUUGAAACUGUUAUUCUAGAGUGUGGGAGAGGUAGGUGGAAUUCUUGGUGUAGGGGUAGAAUCCGUAGAGAUCAAGAGGAAUACUCAUUGCGAAGGCGACCUGCUAGAACAUAACUGACGCUGAUGCGCGAAAGCGUGGGGAGCAAACAGGAUUAGAUACCCUAGUAGUC
rnacentral:rRNA from 1 species